GACGAACGCUGGCGGCGUGCUUAACACAUGCAAGUCGAACGGAAAGGCCCUGCUUUUGUGGGGUGCUCGAGUGGCGAACGGGUGAGUAACACGUGAGUAACCUGCCCUUGACUGUGGGAUAACUUCAGGAAACUGGGGCUAAUACCGGAUAGGAGCUCCUGCUGCAUGUUGGGGGUUGGAAAGUUUCGGCGGUUUGGGAUGGACUCGCGGCUUAUCAGCUUGUUGGUGGGGUAGUGGCUGACCAAGGCUUUGACGGGUAGCCGGCCUGAGAGGGUGACCGGCCACAUGGGGACUGAGGUACGGCCCAGACUCCUACGGGAGGCAGCAGUGGGGAGUAUUGCGCAAUGGGCGGGAGCCUGAUGCAGCAACGCCGCGUGCGGGAUGACGGCCUUCGGGUUGUAAACCGCUUUCGCCGGUGACGAAGCGUGAGUGACGGUAAUGGGUAAAGAAGCACCGGCUAACUACGUG
rnacentral:rRNA from 1 species